AUUACGAGAUCACGGGAUAUCUUUCGGCCGGAAUAAGCACGCACGCGCCUAAACUUGAUGCGUAAUCAAAGCGUGAUCGCUUCGUCAUGUAUUGAGGAAUACGCGACUGUUCUUUGGCAUUCUACACAUACAUGUAUAUGCGAGGACAGAAGAGGAGGAACUCUGCACGGAUUAACUGUGUGACCAGUAUGUGCCACGACACGCAGUCGGGUCGAUCGCUGGAUUCAUUAAAUUUUAUCCGACGGGUUGCAAACGUGCAGUCGAAAAAUUCGUUUGACUCUAUCUCUAUCUCUAUCGUGAACGCGAGUGAAACUGUACUUGUUAACGCGCAUGCGUCCAGUAAUAUCGUAUGCCUUCGGAGUGGUAACAUGCGUCAUGUUAUAUGACCACGUGACUAUUUUACUUUUGAAGUUGGAUAAUAUACGGUUUAUAUCGGAAUUUCUGACUAACACGGUUUAAUACAGAGCAAAACCGCGAUGAUGACUCGUUGAAAACCAUUCAGAAUUCAAGGUAGACAUUUUGGAAGGAAAGAAGCAUGCCUGGCGAAAAUGACGUUUCCAACAAUCUGCUAUAUUUUUCAUAUCAGAGCGUCGUGCCUGUAAAAAAAAAAUUUAAGAAACACGAAAUGUAACGAAACGAAAGAAUGAAUUCCUGCUGCGUUUCCUCCUAGCAAGAGAAGAACAGUAACAGACGCACAGUCUAUUACCUGAACCACCAAGCCAUAGAAUAAGUAAAGGGGAAAAAGUUGGCAUGAAAAAAAAUUCUUCCGCAUCGAGCGGCUGUUGGCCGGGUUGGCGUCCUUCCUGGAGAACGAGCAAAAAAAAAAAUUGGCCAGCCCUUUUUUUUAUACCUCCACUAUUGGCCAUUUGACCGGCAAGGAUACCGUUGCUUCGCUCCAAAGAUACCGCUAGAUUGCUUUCCUGUUAGAAAACGAGAUCAUGGCCAUCUUUCACGAUACAAGGCGUUGCAACCAUCGAUGGAAGGCUUCCUCGUUUUCCUCUCCAUGCAAAAAAAAAAAGAACUCGCAGAAAGGGUAGUAAAAGGUUUGGAAAAAAAUUGUCUUUUUUCACGAUAUAGCAUACACUUACUUUGGAUGAACUAUUUCCAGGUGUGUUAAUAUUGGAUGGAGUUUGGAAAAGAGAUGUGAAAGGAUUGAUGGAAUAUUUAUGUUGUAUCUGAUGAUUGAAGAGAUAUGAAGCUAUAGAAUAAUGUAUUGAUUGAGAGGUAGAAUGAAUCUUCUGCUGGAUAUGAAAAUUAGAAUAAUAAAUGGAACUAUAGAAUAAUGUAUUGAUUGAGAGGUAGAAUGAAUCUUCUGCUGGAUAUGAAAAUUAAAAUAAUAAAUGAAACUAUAGAAUAAUGUAUUGAUAGAGAAUGAAUCUUCUGGUGGAUAUGAAAAUUAGGAUCAAGGAUAGAUAUAUGUGGAUUAGGCGAAGAAGGAGAAUAUGAAAAAGGAGAUUAUUGAGAUAUUUCUUGUUAAUAUGGAAAUUUUAUUAUUGAUAGUGAAAAUAUCAUUGAAAUAGGCAAUGUUUUUGCGCGUAAAAGAGAGAUAUAGGUGGCAUAAUCAGAUACAAAUUUAGAUAAUAUGUGUAGGUAUACAGGAAAUUUCAAAUAAAAUGAUAUUGGCUUUCGUUAUGGCGUAUCUUGCGUUGUACAUAAGGAUAUGAGCGUUGUAAUUAAAGAAUACGUUUAUGAAAUUAUUUGCAAAUACAGCCAGUAGGCAUAAUCAAGUCUAUGUUUGUUAUUACUCGCUGUACAUUCUUGUUCAAAAGUCGCUUAAAGUAAUAUUUUGUGCGUUUGUCUCAAAAUUGUAAGAAAUUAAAAUAUACAAAAGGACGUUUAAUCUUUCCAAUAUGAUUCUGAAAUUGAUUGAUACAAAAUUGAAUGUAUCAAAAUAUGAAAAAUUUGUUGAAUGAAAUUGUGUCUUUCAAAUACAUGCAUUUUUAAGAGACUUUUGACCAAUAAUGUAUUACAAAAAAAAAUUGCAUGUGCGCGCAAAUACAUAUAUUAUAAUAUAUAUUUUUUGCUGUUGUAAAUUAUUCUUCCGCUUUGUGCAUGUGUAUGAAUAAUCAUUACAGAUAAUUAUCUUCACCUGCAGACAUAACCGUCCAACCGUUCUCAAGUGUAAUUAUUAGACUGAUAGGAUAUCUAGAAUCGAAAUUUCAA